GGAAGAAUUCUUUGGGAGAGGAUUAAGUCACCUUCAUUUAGACCGAACCUUUAUAAUUUCCUUGUAACUUUCUUUUUCCCUUAUCAUCCAUCACUAAUGUUAUCCAUUGGUAUAUGGAAAAUUUCUUGUAGUUACCGACUCCUACUAUAAUGGCAAUGAAGAAGGUAAUGAUUUUUGUGUUUCAACUGUUGCUUUCUCAUUCAUGUCAAAUCCGUUUUUCUUUGAGAUCACUUUUCUUUGAAUGUGUUAU
rnacentral:lncRNA from 1 species